AGCAUUGCCUCGGUGACAAUAUCCCUUUGGUGGGAGUCUUUUGCACAGCACGUUUUGUAGCACUCGUUUAUCUCUAAUUUAUCUGCAAAUGGGUCUUCCAGAAACAGUUUAGGCCAUAAUUAUCUUCACGUUGGUUUCUUGUUAUUGGCAGGAUGGGGGGAAAUUACAUACCAAGAACUGUAUCCGUGGAAAAUCUCUCUCGUUACCGGUGUUGCUAACCCUGUUUUCUUAAUGUGCCAUUCCAAUAUUUUUCCCUUUUGUAUAUCCUUGCCGCUUAUAUUUCUCUAUCUUUGGUUAGGUUGCAGCUGUAGACAGUAGAUCAGAAUCUGUGGUAGUCACCAAGAUGACUUGUUUCAAGAUUGUUCCGAAGCUGUUGAAAAUCGACAAGAUGUAGCUGCAAGUUGCAAGAAACACAACUAAGAUGUUGUUGCUAUGGGAUCCAAUGAUCACUUGAUUGAUAUUUUCAUGGCCAUGGCAAUUGGAUUCUCAUUGGUCGCUUUCAAUCUUUCAUCAAAUUCUAGAGCGAGCUCUCAACUGAUGAUGAAUUCGAGAAUUCCAACAGGAAUUGACACAGACACGCAUAUCUCGGUUCCCACCACAAGUCCUUUUCCUUUUUUCCUCUGGCCAAUUACCCCAAAGUCCAUUGAAAACCCCUUUCUGUUUUUUAUUUAGCUCGUGGAACAUGACACUUUGGAAGAAAACUUCUCCUUGCAAUGAAAGAUGGAAAAGCAAGGACGCUCCAAACACUGACGGAUGGAUUAUGGCCAUGAGUUGUUCUUUCAAGAUUUUUAGCGAUUUGUCUGCAUUUUUUUCUUUUUGGAAAUUAUUCUAAGGACACACUGCUGGCAAGAAUUCUUAUGAGAGCGCGACUUCCAUCACAUUUGAA